AUGGAAGGGUUGUAUCGAUGGACUGAACUGCAGAAUGCAAGAACAGAGGGGGAAAGCCUAGCCUAUCAAAGACUAGCAUCUUCACACAGCUCCGAGCAUCUUGCAGCAUGUAGAAGAGUAAAGAAUAGCAGUUUAUAAUUAACAAGCAUGUUGUAGCAUUAACGCCCAGAGAUCCUUCCUCGACUCCCUGCGAGAAAGCAAUCCCGGAGCCACAUAUCCAUCACAUAUCAAGUAUCCAUUUCUAGUUGUAUAAGAUCAGGAUACAAGUCUGAACGUCCAUUACCGUGGACACGGUAUUCGAAUAUAUGUCUUCCCUGCAGGGGUGCACCACAUUACCCAACACGCCCGAUCACUCUGGCCGGACACACCUUUCUAGGGUCAAUGCCCGCCCUCGGAAAAUCAACACGUCGCGGCCCUACCUAGGCUCAGCAGAGAGGUCCCCGCCGGUCUACAUCCUAAGCACUCCGGGGUCUUGGGCCCAUCGCCCGCAGCACUCCGGGUCGUUGUGUGCAGGGUGGAUACCAGCACCGCCUCGGAUGGCCAGCACGAUCCAACCGUGCCACAAUGCUGAACUGGACGCCUGACAAAGCUUCGGCUGAUACUGCGACUUCGAGGCCCAUAACUAUUCUCGCGUGGUGGUUAGUGCGUAAAGGCCAAAGGCCAACUCAAAACAAAUACCCAAACAUGUUAGUACAUUAUUAAAAGGAGUGACGGCUGUCGGGACAAGUCCGGAGCUAUCACCCCUUCCCGGGUGAUACCGCUAAACAGCCAGCCGCCACUGUCACAUCGCACGGGUGCUCUCCGGGCCCUCCCGGCUAUCACAACGGUCUCCAGUAAAGUCAAGAUAACUGUGUGUCCAGACAUCAAGGGGAAAACCCGAGGAAUCACCCCCGAAGGAUUCCACUCAAUGUAAUCAUCAAGGUGAACGUAAGAGGGACCACCCUCGAGGUUCACACUUGAGGUGUUAAAGGACAGAGCCGUAUCGGGAAUGGUGAAAGAGGAAAUCACCCUCGAUGACCACGAUCGAAUAGCUACACUACAGAAUUAUCAUCAGGAGUGCGUUAUGAGGGAUCACCCUCGACACUCGAUAGUAGCUCUGCAGAGUCGAGCAACUAAAGGGGCGUGAUGUGAGGUGAGGUGUCAGGCUCUGGUCGUCGAUCAUGUCGAUCGAGGCGUGGAUGAUGAAGCAAGGGCAACAAGGAGAAGUAGGGGUCACUGAUGGAACACUAGCCAACCUAUACUAAGCAGUUUAGGAUAAGCAGGUAGGUAACAAUAAGCAGGUACAAAAGCAAGCUAUGCAUCAGAAUAGGAGCAAUCAAAUACAGUAGCAAAAUCUAAUGCAAGCAUGAGAGUAUAGAAUGGACGAUAUCGGGAUGAUCAAAGGGGGGGGGGGCUGCCUGGUUGCUCAGGCGAGAAGGAGGGGUCGUCGUCGACGUAGUCGAUCACAGGGGCAUCAGCUGCGGCCUCGGGGUCUACCGGGAAGAAGAGGGGGGAAGAAACAGUAAUUAUAGAGCAAGCAAGAGCAUAACAGGACAACAGGCAGAGCUAGACGUGUUCUAACGCGGUGCUACACGAUACGGACAAAGGGGAAUAACAUCCGGGAAAGUUUCCCGAAGUUAGGCAUUUUCGGACAGAUGAAACGGAGGAGAAAAGUUGCAUGUUCAGGUAGUUAGGGGCACGUGGCAGACGAACAGCUCGCUUAUUUAGAUUCGUCUCGUCGUUCUGAGCAACUUUCAUGUAGAAAACUUUUUCGUCCGCGUUACGGAUUAAUUUAUAUGAUAUUCCAAAUAUUUAAACAAUAUUCUAAAAUUAUUAUUAAUUCGGGAUAAAAGGUGAAAUUGCUAUGUGCACCCGGCAGAGUGUACACAGCAGGGCCACUCGAGGCUGACAGUGCGUCCAGGGGGUCCCAGUUGACUCAGUCAACAGUGCAGUCAACAGUCAACAGUUUAACUGGUCAAAAUUGUAGAUGGAGCCUAGAUGUCAUUCACACAUAUCUUGCAUUUUCUUUUUAAGUGGAUAUUUAGAGGGGGGAUCCACCUGUCAUUUGCACUAUACCUAACCACUGAUUAGACUAACAAGUAGGAGUACUAAUUAGCUAACGGAGAGUCGGCCGGCCACCACACACACAGAAUACACAGACGCACACACAGUUCUGUUUUCUGCUAACAAAAGAUAGCAUUUUGUGAUUUUCAUAGGAUUUAUUCCAUGCAUCAAAUGGAUUUGGUCCAGUGGACACAUUUAAGCAUUGUCAAGUGUACUUUCUACUAAUAUUAUUUUUAGCCUUGUUAACAGUUGUUUAACCAAAGUUUAGGGGCUGUUUAGGGGGUUACUCAAUGUAAAAACUAAAAAGCUAGCUAGUAGCUACAGUUGCUAUCAUCAGUUAGCAUCAGUAGCAGUAGACGAGUAGCAAGCGGCAGCAGCAGUGGGCAACCAGAAGCAGUAGGCGCUGGUAGCAGCAGGCACGCACGCCGGCGCGUGCGCACGCGCAAGGCACGACCAGCGCGGGGAGCAGCGAGUAGCGCCGGGCUUGCAGGGGAGCGUGCGUGCUCGUAAUUGGAGGCGCGGGCGGACGAGCAGGGCUGUGGCCCGGGCAUAGUAGGGGAUCCCGGCGAGCGCGUACAGGGGAGGAACGGGCGCGCGGAGCUUCGGGCGAGUUGGUCGCAGCAUCCUACGGCGUCAAAUCGAAGAGGAGAAGGGGAGUUUGGACGUGGUGCUCACCUAGGAGCACACGGAGGCUCGGCGGGAGGUUUAGGAGCAGCAGGCGGUCGAAGUGGAGGAAGCCCGCCGUCGUAGUAGAGGAGGCAGACGGCGCGGUGGCGUUCCGAGGUGGUCGAAGGGGUCGGGGCGGUGCUGCGGGGCCGUCCCGGUCCGAUCUCGUCUAGGAGGAGGAGGAAGGCGUCCGCGAUGGAGCUGUCGGACAGCUCAGAACGGAGAGGGGAGGCUGGUGGCUGCGUCCAUGGCGACGGCGAGCCCUCGGGACGGCGUCGGCGUCGAGGCGCCGCGGAUGGAGCGGAUCUGGCGAGAGGGGGGGAGGAGGAACCGAGGAGGAGAGGGGGAAGUGGAG
rnacentral:lncRNA from 1 species